rnacentral:lncRNA from 1 species
CGCAUGGAGCGGCGCGGGCCGGGGGCCGCGGCGACGGGCCGGGCCGGGCCGGGCGGAGGAAAGAGCUGCCAGCCAGGGGCUGGGUUGGCGCCUGUGUCCUGUGUCAGCCGAGUCGGUACAGCCGCCCUAAGGCCAAGCUGGUGGAUGGACUGCUGUUGUACAUCUGCUUCCUGACUUUCCCAGCCUCCGCCUCAAAGAACACUUAGGCUCUGCUCCUUCUCAGCCGGAGCAGCAACUCCCAGAUAAAUUCCAGCGCAUUGGGCCUGUAGGCUGCUCCAUCACCAAUGAACCCCAUGAACCCCAUGAAACCUGCCCUGCCCCCUGCACCACACGGUGAUGGUUCAUUUGCAUAUGAGUCUGUGCCUUGGCAACAAAGUGCCACUCAGCCAGCUGGGUCAC